rnacentral:rRNA from 1 species
UGGGGAAUUUUGGACAAUGGGCGCAAGCCUGAUCCAGCCAUGCCGCGUGAGUGAAGAAGGCCUUCGGGUUGUAAAGCUCUUUCGGUGGGGAAGAAAUUGCUUCGGCUAAUAUCCGGAGUAGAUGACGGUACCCGCAUAAGAAGCACCGGCUAACUACGUGCCAGCAGCCGCGGUAAUACGUAGGGUGCGAGCGUUAAUCGGAAUUACUGGGCGUACAGCGUGCGCAGGCGGUUGUGUAAGUCAGAUGUGAAAUCCCUGGGCUCAACCUGGGAACUGCAUUUGAGACUGCACGGCUAGAGUGUGGCAGAGGGGGGUAGAAUUCCACGUGUAGCAGUGAAAGGCGUAGAGAUGUGGAGGAAUACCGAUGGCGAAGGCAGCCCCCUGGGCCAAUACUGACGCUCAUGCACGAAAGCGUGGGGAGCAAACA